rnacentral:ncRNA from 2 species
AAGAAAGUGCGGGGGAGCCGCCUGGCUGAGAGGUCCGAGAAAAAUCGGACGACCCCUUGAACCUGAUGCGGGUAAUGCCGCCGAAGGAAGCGAGGCCUGGCCAUGC